rnacentral:rRNA from 1 species
GGCGAUCAGAUACCGCCCUAGUUCUGACCGUAAACGAUGCCAACUAGCGAUCCGCCGGUGGAAUUUUUGCCCUGGAGGGAGCUUCCCGGAAACGAAAGUCUUCCGGUUCCGGGGGAAGUAUGGUUGCAAAGCUGAAACUUAAAGGAAUUGACGGAAGGGCACCACCAGGAGUGGAGCCUGCGGCUUAAUUUGACUCAACACGGGGAAACUCACCCGGCCCGGACACCGUAAGGAUUGACAGAUUGAGAGCUCUUUCAUGAUUCGGUGGAUGGUGGUGCAUGGCCGUUCUUAGUUCGUGGAGCGAUUUGUCUGGUUUAUUCCGAUAACGAGCGAGACUCUGGCCUACUAACUAGUACGCACAUUGCCUCUGUGUGCGCGUCUUCUUAGAGGGAUUUUCGGUGUACACCCGCACGAAAUUGAGCAAUAACAGGUCUGUGAUGCCCUUAUAUGUCCGGGACUGCACGCGCGCUACUCUGUCAAAAUCAGCGUGCUUGUCCUUCGCCGAAAGGGGUUGGUAAACCCUUGAAAAUUCAUCGUGAUUGGGAUCGGAAAUUGCAAUUAUUUUCCGUGAGCGAGGAAUUCCGAGUAAGUACUUACGUCCCUGCCCUUUGUA